AGGACGUGGGAUCUGCCGGCGUUUUUAACACUGCGCACAUGAGGACCACAGAAACGUGCGAGCGUUGCAAGACGGCAUAACACGUGUGAUCUGACCACUGUGGAAGACCUGCGCCAUGAUGAAACGCCGCGCAUCUUCACGGGCGGUGGAAGAGAAGCGUGGCCGAAUAACGUGGCUUCCACGCAACGGACUACAACCUGCUGUCCAAGAAGCUAGCUCCAUAGAAGGUUUUGUGUUAGAUGAGCAACGAUAAUAAAUUUAAUAUGUUAAAUCCCUGUUAUGCGCUAAGAUGAAAGAU